GAUGAACGCUGGCGGCGUGCCUAAUACAUGCAAGUCGAGCGAACAGACGAGGAGCUUGCUCCUCUGACGUUAGCGGCGGACGGGUGAGUAACACGUGGAUAACCUACCUAUAAGACUGGGAUAACUUCGGGAAACCGGAGCUAAUACCGGAUAAUAUAUUGAACCGCAUUGUUCAAUAGUGAAAGACGGUUUUGCUGUCACUUAUAGAUGGAUCCGCGCCGCAUUAGCUAGUUGGUAAGGUAACGGCUUACCAAGGCAACGAUGCGUAGCCGACCUGAGAGGGUGAUCGGCCACACUGGAACUGAGACACGGUCAAGACUCCUACGGGAGGCAGCAGUAGGGAAUCUUCCGCAAUGGGCGAAAGCCUGACGGAGCAACGCCGCGUGAGUGAUGAAGGUCUUCGGAUCGUAAAACUCUGUUAUUAGGGAAGAACAAAUGUGUAAGUAACUAUGCACGUCUUGACGGUACCUAAUCAGAAAGCCACGGCUAACUACGUG
rnacentral:rRNA from 1 species